rnacentral:rRNA from 1 species
CACGUAGGGGGGCGAGCGUUGUCCGGAUUUAUUGGGCGUAAAGAGCUCGUAGGCGGUCUGUUGCGUCGGCUGUGAAAACCCGGGGCUCAACCCCGGGCCUGCAGCCGAUACGGGCAGACUAGAGUUCGGCAGGGGAGACUGGAAUUCCUGGUGUAGCGGUGAAAUGCGCAGAUAUCAGGAGGAACACCAAUUGCGAAGGCAGCUCACUAAACAGAGAUUGACGCUGAGGCACGAAAGCGUGGGGAUCAAACAGG